UACGUAGGGGGCUAGCGUUGUCCGGAAUCAUUGGGCGUAAAGAGCGUGUAGGCGGUCCGGUCAGUCGGUUGUGAAAGUCAAGGGCUCAACCCUUGAAUGCCGGCCGAUACUGCCGGGCUAGAGUCCGGAAGAGGUGAGUGGAAUUCCUGGUGUAGCGGUGAAAUGCGCAGAUAUCAGGAGGAACACCAAUGGCGAAGGCAGCUCACUGGGACGGUACUGACGCUGAGACGCGAAAGCAUGGGGAGCAAACAGG
rnacentral:rRNA from 1 species